GUUACCUCCUUCUCGAUCGCUUAAUGCCCACUAAAGACGAAAUCACCUGUAGGAAGCAGUUAAAACGGUGUUCGGUGUUCGAACUCCACAGGGACAAAGGGAUGUGCUUCUUCAUCCAAUUAGACGAUAAUGGAACACGGAUCCUCGUUUUGCCACGGAUUCAGUAUCGAAUCAUUUUCGAUCCUCACCGAUCCUCCUUUCCUUUUUUCUUUUUUUUCUCGACUCUUUCUAGACGCUGUCCACUCUCCCCGUACGAUUCCUCGAAAAAUCGAAGUAGGUGCAAUUUUAUUCUCGAAUAUAUGGUACGGAAUUUGAAAAAUUGGAAUUUUGGAAGGGAAAAAAAGGAAACGCGAAUGGUUGGAAAGGCAAACGGGAAUUCGUAGUAGCUCGUAGAGCGCGACGAGGACGGUGGAACGAAUGCAAGCUCGCGGGGAGGAAGGAGAGAAGCGAGUGAGAGCGGGCCCGAGGUAAAGAGACGCCCGGAUCGCGACAGUCCCGAUAACUGUUUGCCUGCGUGAAGAGCGUUCGAGCGCGUUACAACUCAAACCUUUUAGCCGUUGUUUGCACGGUGCUUUGUAUUCUAUUUGUACAACCGCUUAAACAACUCAGGCUGGACGUAUAAGCCUGGCUCGAGCCUCCUCGAGGGAGUUGUGCGAACUCUCGAUCGACUCGAGGGUGCCACUUUCCGGGCCAACCUGUUGACGCUUCGAUCCUCGAUUUCUCCUCCGUUCCUCCAUCCUUGUUCGCCCUCCCCUCCCCUCCCCUGCCCUCGCCCCCCUCCCGCGUGACCUCCAGCCUCCCCGUGAAACCUCUGGAUCGUUAACGAUUCGUAUUAACGUUAUUCCUAAGGCUAAGAUAAGGUCGGAGAAAGAUGACUGGUCCGCGCGCAUAGCGGCAGAAAAAUGUCGGCGUUCGUCUUCUUUGUUUUCACGGGAUUCCUUGGCUUCCAGGCUAUACGGUUUUUGGCCCGUCUCGAUUUCACAAUCCCGGGGACGUCGCGUCGCGUUAAGCAACGGAGGAGGACGAUCGAUUACCAUCGCGUUGGUUGGAUCGAUGAUCGGCACGAAGGUAGACGAUGCCAGCCUUCUCCGCUCGUGGUAAAACGUUUCGGGAUGGUGGAGCAGGGGAAAUGGAAGGAAAGGAAGCGGAGAAGCGAGUGAAAAAAAAGGGGAGAGGAGAGAGAGAGAGAGAGAAAGAGAGAUAUGAUAAAAAUGAGAAAGAGAGAGGAGACGCGAGGAUUUACCUGGACGGAAGAAAUGGGGCUACUCUGGAGCUCGUAGACAGGUAGGUGGAUAGCAGAGCGACGGUACGAUCACUAAAUUAAGCUGGAUUAGGCUAAUCUGGCCCCGCGGAUCGUUAAUUAACGAGGCUAUUAGUCAACGGCGGUGACUAUUAAUUCGAACGAUAGUCGUGUCUCGGCGAUACGUUAUGGCAAUAUCGUGUAUUUGUCACUAUCGUCCGGCUCACAAAUUGGUUACAGCGCACCUGGAAUGUCGUGCCCCUUCACAGAGGGAACUCUCUCUCCAUGUUCUGCUAUUUCUCUCCUCUUCUUUGCCUCCUCUCUCUCGCCACCUUCAAGCGUUUCCUCCUCCUCUCCUCCUCAUCGUCCUCAUCGUCGUUGUCGUUACCCCUGAAAUUACUUUACUCUCUCCUCUUCUCUGCUUCGAUCUAUCUUCGUUACGCACGAGCAUUCUCUCGGUGCUCGCUUCGUCGUGAUGGUGAUUCGAUGGGAGCGUAGGUUCGAUCGCAAGGUCUCGCACAAGUUAGAGAUUUUACGCGAAAUUCCAGCCACCGGAUCGCGUCGUAUUCGUACAGAUCCUGAGAGCAGUCGAUCGUUAUCGGCCCUCAUCAACGUCGUUUCGCUAUUAAUUUAUCGUCGUGUCGCGGGAGAACCGACCAACGAGAUACGACGAUACCACGCUCGGACCACACUUGGGAUACCUUGGCCGGGUUCGCUCGAUAAAUUAUGACCACGGACGAUCGAUUAAUUUACCGAAAUUGGAUACUUUAUCGUCGAAUACUUUGUGAAAGCAACGAUGAGAAAUCGAUCGACGAUCCCUCAAGAUUCCAGUAGCGCGCCUCGACCUCCUACCGUCGAUCUUCUCUAUUUUCCACCUCUCUCCCUCUCUCGUAGAUUUCCUUCGCCUCGAUUCGAGCGUGGCAAUGAAUGGAACCGUUAAAACUGUCACCGAAACGAUACGAACGAGACACAAGUAGUAGUUGAUGCGGCCAUUCAUUGUCAGGUAAGUACCUGUGGGGUUCCACGCAGCCCUCGUGGGUGUCAUUGGCUCGAAUUUAGAAAGGGCGAACUCCCCUUUUGACCGAGUGCUAAGUUAGCGUGCAUCCGGGUUGACCAGGGAAAAAGAUUCUGCCUCCUCUCUCACCUGGCUAUGACAAAUUCAAAAAAUAUUUGUAGGCACGCCACGAAGGUGGAGCACCGUGGUACGCGCGUCCACUUCGAAAAGAACGGCUCAAUGGAAAAUCACCGAGGAUAACUAAUUCGGAAUUCGGUCCCUGGAACCAAGAAGAGUGAUGUGGAGUAGUAGUAGUAGUAGUAGUAGUAAUAAUAAUAGUAGUAAUAGUAGUAGUAAUAGUAGUACUAGUAGUAGUAGUAGUAGUAGUAAUGGAGAGUAAUCGCGCGUUACCUUCCAAAAUCUUCGACGUUUCUAUCUUCUCCCCCUUCCCCCUUUCAUUUUCUCGAAACGGCCCGGUCCAUCUUUUUCGUGAGGCCCUUCUCGUUCGCAUGAUCCCGCGAUUAUUAACGAUUUAACACGGGUUUCGAGAACCACGCUAGAAAACCGCCCGUGGAGCGUAGCUUUGCGCGUUUCUUCGCGCCGAAAUUACAACAGGACGCCUAAUUAUCGUUGGAAGGGAGGAAGGAGAGAUGGCUCGAUGGUUGGGAGGAGUCCGGGAUUGCCUUGCGUCUUUUACCUACCGCAACGCUCGUUGAUUCGUCCCGGGUGAGAGAACGACGCGAAUACCGCAACCCGACACUCGCCACCUCCUCCGUUCGCUCUCCUCGUGCAUAAUAACUUUAUUCUUUAAAUUACUUCGGCCACCCUUUCCCCUUCUCCUUCUCCCUCUCCUUCUCCGCGGUUCGAGUUCGUAAGUACGAACGCCGUGUCUCUAGGCGAGAGAAAAAUUUCGAGACGCGGAUCGCGCUCGAAAACGGUGGUGCGCGUUCGUUUCCCGCGCACGGGUGGUCGCAGUCGGACGAGAGAGGAACUCGGGUCGACGUACCCGACGUCCGUGCCAGGGGAACCAUAGUUACACCUAUUUGUUCUUCGGAUUCCACGUAGCCGAGGCAUUUCUGAUUUUUCACGCGCGUCUCUCUCUCUCUCUCUCUCUCUCGCGGGUGGCCGAUCACCAUCGGAUUCCCAUCCGUGACCAUUUCGUCCGUUUUCGCAGCCCAACACAUUCGUCCUCUACCUUUCGUCGACCCAUUCCUACCUCUCUAUCCCUGGUCUCCUCCCAUCCCCGGGCCACGUCGCAUUUUCACUCCCUUCUUCCAAGAUUCGCAUCGCUCGACCAGGGAAGAGGAGCGACGAGCAGUUCUACGCAUCGUUCGAGCGAGGCGAGAGCAUAUCCGGGUCCGAUUUCGAAACGAUCGUUCGUUCGUUUCCAUUAACGAUGAUGACUCGUCAAGAUGAUUGUGGGACUAAACGAAACCGGAACGAACGGACGGCUUGCGGAAAUGACGCGCGCGACGAACAACAAAGUGGUGGUCGAUGAUUCACGAUAGACGGCCACGUCGGGGUCAGCUUCUUCUUCCGCGAGCCGCUAUUUCGAACGAAUUGGAAUUCGGAUCGACCGAUCGAGAUUCGGACGGAGAGGAAAUGGAAUGGUACGUUUUAUAUUGCUUGCUCUCCGAGAGCAAGAACGGAAAGAGAGAAGCGUCGAUGAAUCCUAACGAACGGAGGCUUGGGGAGAGAGAGGGAGGGAGGGAGGGGGGUCUUCGACCCUUGGUGGUGGAGGCCCACUGUGGGAAUCUUUUAGAUAUCGAUGACGGGAAAGGAACGCGUCCCGCGGAGCGCUAAUGGAUCGAUCCUGGGUGGUUCGAUCGGCGGUGCGAUCACGAUGUUCGUGAUUCGGUCGAGGGAUCUCCUCUCGCGUUAGGUCGGCGAGAGGUCGGAAACGGGACGACCGAAAUCGCCCCGGGCCGGUUGGAGGGCCGCGCCAUUCGCCGAUUCGCCUCGCGUGUCGCGUGAUUAACGCAACGUUAUUAAAACGUAUAUAUCCGUGUGUCCGCGGGGCCACGAGGAAACGUACGGCCGGCCAUUAGCCCUAGCGAAAUCGUGGUGGCUAAUUAAUCGGAGCAAUUAAGAAGAGGAGAAGAGAGAAGUGUGUCCUCCCCCGUUCCCCGCCCCCCGUCCCUUCUUUCCAUCUCGACCCUCCCCCUCGCCCUGUGCGCGCCGGCCGAACCCGAACCUCGGAUGGAUCCCCGCGUGGAUCGUGGGUCCCGCGACACGAUGAUCUACGCCCCGUGCGUCCACGCCGAUUUAUUAAUGCGCGCGCCCACGGCAUUGGUUACUUUUUUGCCUCGGGAGGCGAACGGCCUCGGGAAACGGCGUGGAGGACGGACAAAAAUCGGAUAUCUGCUCGCGGGAUGGUGGCAAAGCCACGGAAAACAAACGGUGUUACGUCCGUUCCGAGACGAGGAGCGGAUGGAAACGGUGGAUUUGGAAAAAAGUUGGGAACGCGAUCAAAGGGGGGCGCAAAACCUUUGAUCGAUUCCCUGGUUCGAGGAUUUUUAUUCCGGUCGAUGGCGUUUCCGUCGAAUCGGCGCGCGGCAUACCUUCGGCUUGGAGCGUGCGCGAGCUGUCCAACGAUGGCGAAACCAAGACGUCUGUUUCUCGACAUUGACACGAACGCGUUCGUUUCCGUCCCGGAGAUGGCCGACAGCCGAUCGACGCGUCUUGGCACGCGCGAACAGCCGCGCACAAGAAGCGCAAUCUUUCCGGGCAGAUCGGUUCGCGCCACGCCAGCCGCGGGAUCCGCCUCGUAAAUUUUUUUUCCCUCGAUCCGCGAAUCGGCAGGCCCGCUGCGUUCGACGAUACGUCAUUUCUUGGCAGAUCGAACGAUCGACCGAUCGAUAUUAACGCGUCCCGUCACGCCAAGAAUGCGUCGACGCGUCCCUAUUUCUUUUUCUCCGCUCCAGCUACACCCUUCUUUCUCCCUUUUCUUCUUCUCUCCUCCUCCUCCUCCUCCUCCUCGUCCUCCUUCUCCUCCUCCUCCUCCUCCUCCUCCACGGCCAGCAGCUUGUCCUCCUUUCUUCCGUACAGGAUUCACGAGCGACACGCUCGAUCGACGGGAGACACGAGAUUUAUCGACCGGUUCCCAAGACUCGUUAUUGUUCCAUAUCGUAUCGUCCUCCUCCCUGUCCGGAUAAUUGCGCGAGCACGCGCUUCGAAUGUCGAUUCGAGGCGUACGGGACGUCGCCGUUUCACGAAUUUACGCUCGAGAACCCGAUGGAUCGCGCGUGGAUAAAGAUCGACAACCUGUUGGAGGAUUCCUCGAGAGGAGGACGAGGAAUCGCGCGGAUGGAAGGAAUGUCGAGACGAGAGAUAUUGUUGCAGAGGCGAGCCAAGUUGAAACGGCGCGAAACGAAAUCGAUUUCGCGAGAUCGCACGAGCGUACCGAACGAAACCGGACCGUCGACCCCCUCUCUCUCUCUCUCUCUCUCUCCCCGGCUCUCCAACGGGAUUAAUUAAUAUUAGUAACACUGGGGGAGGCCGUAAUUAAUUACCGGGCCGGAGCAACCAUUCGUCUUAAUACGAGCGCGCUAUGCGCCCCCUGGCAUUCGCUCGUUUGUUCGUCCGAUCCAGAUAAUGAUCGCGACCUAAUGAAAACAUUAUGUUCGACGAUGGGCUCACGAGCCGUUCCGAGUCCACUCGAAUAUCAUUCCGAAAGAUCCAGCAAAUCAUAAACGUUUCGUUCCUGUUACUUGUAUACGAUGUACAUAUCUCUUUGGUUAAUGCGUGUGUGCAAUUCCCUAUCUACACGACGUUUCGAAACGACGUAUCAAAAAUUUCAAGUUUUAUUUAUUUUUCUUCUUCGUUCCAACCUUCUCGGGCCAAGAUUGAAUUAAAUUAAAGCGUUCCUUUUGCAAGUUCGUACGAGCUUUUACGUGUGUAACUUUACUCUUAAGAAAACUUUUUUUUUAAACGUUUACUCUUAGGUAAACAAGUAAGUUUGUGAAAGUAAGUAUUUGUUAAAUUACAACUUUUUACGAUGAACUUUUCCCUUUUCACAUGUUUUUUCUCUCUGUCCAUUUUUUUUUCUUCAGGUUCCCCGCAGCGGGAACCCGAAGCAGUAGUAAAUGCGUAUCGAUCACGUUCGUGAGGUUAUUAUGCCAGCCGUUUGUCCGGCAAUAAAUACAUAAAUGUCCAUAACGGAAGGGAUAAUUCGGCGUGCAAGUCCUACGGGUGGGUGAUGCUCGAAGUAUUCUUUGGGGAAUUGGUCGGAGACGAAAUUUCAGUCGCACGUACUUCUCGUAACGUAUUUAUCAAGUUGAACGAUACCGAAAGAUGAAACACGAACAAGAAUGAAAGAAGAUGGGUAAAAAGAGCAAGAAACGACGAAGACGGCAGAACGGGCAUCGUGUCGAGCGUUUCCUCUUUCUUCGUUCGUCGCUAGCCAAAACUCCAUGACGAAUCUCUUCAUCCGCGAAUGACUGCGAGUUUUCCUAGAAUCGACCAACUCCUCCGUCGUUCUUUCUUCCUUCCAUGUUCGAGGUGCAAGGUGAAGACGACGAGAGCAAUUUAACGAAAAAAUUGGACAGCUUCGUUUUUCUUUUUUGUUCCUCGAUGAAAGCGAUCGAUAUCGAAAGAGAUAUCGGAAGAAUCGCAACGUAAUUGGAGAAGGAAACUAAUAUGAAGAUGGAGGAGAAGAGGAGGCGAAGAAGACCACGAAGAAUCGAUGGCGUGAGAGUCGAACGGCGUUCUCUUAAUUAAGGAGGAGCGAAGGAAUGCUCCGGGAAAGCAGGUUCGUCCCGUCGUUGUUCGUUUCCAACGAUUAGCUCGUCCGAAGAAAGCUUCUUUCUGUCACGAGACCGAGAGUAGGAGGGAGUAAGAAGAGCGAAGAAGGAGGAUGGAAAGGAUAAAAAGAAAAAGAAGGAUAGGGUGAGAAUGGCAGCGCCUAUCGUGCAGGCGCCACCGCGUUCACGGUUCCGGUUGGCCGGGAUCGAGAAACAAUAAUUACCUCUCGCGGGUCCUUUGAUGUCCUCCGACGCGUUCGCACCCCGCCCAGAGAUCUCCUCGUAGGUGUCCCGGGUGGUCGUAGACGGUCACGCACACCGAAACGAUAGUUCGUAGCUACGAACACGCCGGGUACACGAGUCCUUUCGCCGAAUCGAGACCCAGUCGAUUCGUGUCCACCGACGCUCGGCUUUUUGCAUUCAUCCCCGUCGGGGGUUUGGAAUCCGACUCGACUCCCUCUACACCGGAUUCAGCGCUCUCCGCCCGCUCUCCGCGUCCUUCGAAUUUUUUCGCCCGAGCUAUCGAGAGGAGGUAGUUUUAUCUUCUCCGGCUCGUGGCUCUUCCCUCGGACGAAACCGAGCUGGUGGUGAUUCCUGUACAUACAUACAUCGUAUCAUCCCCGACGAUGGAAAGACGGAGAGAGACCGGUUGCCGGAGGAUAAUCUAGAAAAUAGGAUGAAAGGCGAUUUCUUGUCUCGGAAAGGGAAAACGAAAGGAGCCCGGGAUCAUCCGAAACAAACGAAUCUUCGCGUUUGUCGGAGCCCACCGCUCUUUUGUUACCCGUUUAUACGGUUAGCUAAUGAGGAUCAACGUUAACCUAUAUUAAGCUAAUCCAUCCUUCGAAAGCCGUUCUCGUGGCACGGCUUCUGCCGCUGGAUCCUCCAAUCCUCCCGACCUCCGACUAAGAAGACACCUGCCGUCGUCGCGAACACGCUUGGCUUCGCGAUCGACCAUCGCUCCCUCGACUUGCUGUAAAACUUGGAUCUCUCGAUCCAAGGGUCCAAUAAAAAUCAAUUUCACGCGUGCACUCGCGGUCCGUUGAUGAAAUCGGAUUAGCCGGCGAAAGUUUCGAGAGAAGCCUCUCCUCCUCUUUCUCCUCCUCGCCCUUCUCCCUUUGGAUCGAGUCGCCGAAGAGGAAAAGACCGGCGAAUAGUCAGCCCGACGACAUUGUUAUCGAAGAGACAAGAGUUUUUGGUACGCGCGUGGAAGCAUUUGCGCCGAAAGCUGGGCGAAAACCUUCGGGGCGCACGGGAGACAAAAUAUGCGGGGUGGUCCGGUCGAGUUUGCGGCGGGCCACAGGCCGCAACUUCAUUUACACCUAUUCAGCCUCCCUCCCUCCCUCCGAACACGGCCUUUAGAUUUACGAGCUAUCUCGCUCUCACCUCUCGCUUUGCCUCGCCACCUUGCCAUCGCGUUCCUCUCUUCGCCGCCCUCGUCGUCCUGCCUCGCUUCGUCCCGUUUCGCCGCGCCUCUUCCACCAUCUUCUUCUGCUCGCCGCUCCACCUCCUCCUCGACCCGAUCGGCGUCGAGCCCCGACCGACGCGUUUGGAUCGCGACGCUUCCGACCGCUCUCUCUCCUCUCCCCGUUCCGUACCGACAAAGGAAUCACCCCGUAUCGUUCUCAUCCCUCUAUCGCGCGAAGACGCCGCCUCUCUAAAUAAAUCGCUGCGCCAAGAUAUCGAUAAGAGGUUAUUGAUUUAUCGACCGGUCGACCGAGAGGGUAUCUCUGAUACGAAAACCAUGCGCCACCACGGAUCCAGAUUCGUCGAAUCGAACGUGCGCGCUUUUAUUUUUACUCCAUUUUUCCCCCGGCGGCGUUGUGAUGGCGGUGGUGUUGCGCGCCACGCAACUUAUUUUCGUCGAAAUUGCGGUUACGAAGGCCUGGCAAAGGAGGGUCCAGGAAAAACGCGGCCUCGCGCGGCCUGCCGUGGAACUCGUCGACAUUAAGUCAUUACCGUAAGCGUCGAGCCGAGCGAGCGGGCAAUCGGCGCGGACAGUCCGUCACGCGAGAAACCGUGGCUUCGCUCUCGGCGAUUCCGCUCGCUAACAGCUUAUUCGCCCGUGACUCGACCUCGAUUAUUUCAACGCGAGCUCUCGUCUGAAGAAACUCGACCAACUCGCCCGCGGCAAAUCGAAUGUUAGCCGGCGACGAUCGCAGAGGUCCUCCGAACACAACGACCUUUGGAGACUUUUCCUCUCGUCGAUCGAAAGAAAGAAAGAAACCGGCGAAUACCGCCUCGAAUUAGAAUCGAGUUUUUCUCGAUUCUCGAGUCCUACCUUGUGUAACUGUGUCCGGUAACUGAGAAAACAGAACCGCCAACAGUUUCAUCGCUCUAUGGUCGAACGAUCGAAUUUCGAAUCGUCAUCGCGCGCGACGUGGUGACGUGGAGAGAAAGAACACGAACAAAAGGAGAAGAAGAGGAGGUUGGGCGAGCAUUCCCGCGGUAUUGUAAUUGUUCGGAAUUUUGUCGGCGAGGAGCUCCUCUCCGUUCCUUUUCCUCCGCUCGAGUUUCCAGCGCGGUCUCCUCCUCCUCCUCUUCCUCCUCGGAUCUCGUCUCUCGAGAGACACGCGUGGACAAAAACGUAAUUGCGCUCUCGUCGCCGAGACGAUUUACGUCGAUCAAUCUCCCCGUAACUCUGAGCCGGGAUCGCGACCGCUGCGAAGUGACCUCGUUCCCGAAUAUCCAUCGCUCCGAUCUUUUUACGCCGCCCCGUAAAUCGCCUUUUCUUGCGUCUCCUUCGCCGCUAUUUCACCUUCUCUUGGCGUCUCGACGACUUUCGUUUUCCAACCUAUCUCCUCUUCCCUGCCCCUCGUGUGUUUUCCGCUCGCGGAAGAAAGGAUGCGCGGCGGAGAGAGAGAGAGAGGAGAGAUGAUGGAGCGAUGGAAAAAGCCUCGCGGCCGGCGCGGAUCCAUAGCUACGCGGCCGCUUCUCUUCUCGCAUUCCGACACUGCGUUCGUUCCCACACACGCAUGUGUGCACCUCCACCUUUCGAUUCGUGCAUUCUCGCGACGUCGGGCCGCAGAGGGAGACGGAAGCGGGCCGUGAACGGAGACGAACCAGCUGCGACGGGCGAACGACGGGGGUACGCGCGGGGAACGAGGCUCUCGACGGAUGAAUGAAAAAAGAGGAGAAAGGAGAAGAGAGAGAGAAGGGUACGGUGGACGGGGGGACGGGGAUAACGAGA